rnacentral:rRNA from 1 species
GAAGGACUUACUCUUCGGAGUGAGAGCGUACACAGGUGCUGCAUGGCUGUCGUCAGCUCGUGUCGUGAGAUGUGGGUUAAGUCCCGCAACGAGCGCAACCCUGCAUUCAGUUGCCAUCGGUAAGGCCGGGCACUCUGGAUGGACUGCCGGCGACAAGCCGGAGGAAGGUGGGGACGACGUCAAGUCAUCAUGGCCCUUAUGUCCAGGGCGACACACGUGCUACAAUGGCCGGCACAACGGGAAGCGAAGGGGCGACCCUGAGCGGAUCCCACAAAAGCCGGUCCCAGUUCGGAUUGCAGUCUGCAACUCGACUGCAUGAAGUUGGAAUCGCUAGUAAUCGUGGAUCAGCCAAGCCGCGGUGAAUACGUUCCCGGGCCUU